CUUUGUUAGCAAAAAUCUUUAAAACUGAAACAAUAAAGAUUAGCAUGGCGCCUGCCCAAAAAUAGACAUGUAAAUUCAUGAAGUGUUUCAUUUUUUU
rnacentral:snRNA from 1 species